UCUCUGCAGCUCUACCAGGCAACCCCAAAGGAAGUUCCCACCUCAGCAAAGCUAGCAGGAGCCACAGGAAGCUGCUGUAGGCAUCUCAAACAAGACCUCCAGUACCUGGAUCUCUCAAUGAAAACUAGACUACAUAGAGAGAUUGUCCCCCUCCAUAUCACUGCACCUAGAAGAUAAGCGUCCAUCAUUCCAGGGGAGAAGGGAGCAGAGAUCCUUUGGAGCCAGAAGACCCUUCCAGAGUUUAACAAUGUGUAGAUCUGGCACAAAGAUCACUUGCUGGACCAUCCUGGAUAGACAGGACACUAGUAUCCAGUACUGCAGCUAAAGAAUUAGCUCAGCCCGUUUCCCCAGUGAUACCUGCCAGGAAGAAACCUCCCUCCACAUGCAGAGCAAAAUCAGAAUCUUACGUGUGGUGACUACAUUUAAGCCAACUGUCCUAGUAGCAUCUACACCGUUUCUGAGGAACUGACAGGCUACACUCUGAACCACUACAGCUCAAUGCACCGCCACCCUUUUCAACAGGAGAUGAAGGUCUGGCCCUGGCCUUUUAACAUAAAUGCAAUUCAUAGUGUGUGAUGGAGUAGGGGCUGUCUGUGUGGGGAAUGAGAGAGCAGGGGAGGAUUUUAGGGGAUGGACGAUACCGGAGCCUGUAACCUGAGCUAGGUAAGGGAGGGGAAAGGUCAACACCUUUGCCCGGGAAGGAGGACAAAGGAAGGGAGUGGCAGGAGGGAAGCAGUUUGAA